AGUCACGCUGUAAACGAUGUCGAUUUGGAGUUUGUUGCCUAGAGUGAUGGGCUCCGAAGCUAACGCGAUAAAUCGACCGCUGGGGAGUACGGCCGCAAGGUUAAAACUCAAAUGAAUUGACGGGGGCCCGCACAAGCGGUAGAGCAUGUGGUUUAAUUCGAUGCAACGCGAAGAACCUUACCUGGUCUUGACAUCCAUAGAAUUCUGCAGAGAUGUGGGAGUGCCUUCGGGAACUAUGAGACAGGUGCUGCAUGGCUGUCGUCAGCUCGUGUUGUGAAAUGUUGGGUUAAGUCCCGCAACGAGCGCAACCCUUAUUCUUUGUUGCCAGCGAUUUGGUCGGGAACUCAAAGGAGACUGCCGUUGAUAAAGCGGAGGAAGGUGGGGGCGACGUCAAGUCAUCAUGGCCCUUACGACCAGGGCUACACACGUGCUACAAUGGCGUAUACAAAGGGAAGCGAAGGUGCGAGCUGGAGCGGAUCUCAUAAAGUACGUCUAAGUUCGGAUUGGAGUCUGCAACUCGACUCCAUGAAGUCGGAAUCGCUAGUAAUCGUAGAUCAGAAUGCUACGGUGAAUACGCUCCCGGGCCUUGUACACACCGCCCGUCACACCAUGGGAGUGGGUUGCACCAGAAGUAGAUAGCUUAACCGCGAGGGGGGCGUUUACCACGGUGUGAUUCAUGACUGGGGUGAAGUCGUAACAAGGUAACCA
rnacentral:rRNA from 1 species